UAAAAUUAUAUUCCCUCCAUUAUAUUUUAUUCCCUCCCAUUUCUAAUUAUCCAAAAAAUAAUAAUCUCAACACAUUGAGGCAAAAUGUUUCACAGGGUUUAUCUCAUCGGUGAAUUAGAGAAAUUAGGUAAUUGAAGCAGCAAUUACUUUUAUCACUUCCGCAAAAUCUAAGAGGCGAUUUCCUCCGAGAGGAUUGUAUGUACUCGUUUCUGCAAGUUCUCUCAUCGGUGAAUUAGAGAAAUUGGGGUACUUUUAUCACUUCCGCAAAAUCUCAUCUAUGCGUCACUUCCGCAAAAUCGAAGAGGCGAUUUCCUCCAAGAGGAUUGUAUACACGUUUCUGGCUCUCGUCUUAUAACUAUUGCAAGGAGAAGAUAUAUAUUCUGGGAAAGAAAGCGCUGCUGAUGAUUGGCUUGACAUAGUUACAUCACUAGCAUGGCAAGCUGCAAAUUAUGUGAAGCCCGAUACUAGUAAAGAAGGCAGCAUGGAUCCAGUUGAUUAUGUUAAGGUUAAGUGCAUAGCUCCAGGAAGCCGAAGUGAAAGUAAAAGGAGCAGUAAAAGGAGCAGCUCAAGAUGGUCGUUUCAAGAAUAGAGGUACAUCAUCCUAAUAUGCUACUUAUGGACAGAAGUGUGUCUUCAUAUGCUCAGGAGCUUCUAUUGGCAAAAAAGAUCUGUGGUGUUAAAUGUUAAGGCGCCACUGCUAGAGCGAGUAUCCAGGUGUAUUGGUGCUCUAAUAACCCCAUCCAUUGAUAGCAUAGCCACAACAAGAUUGGGACAAUGUGAACUCUUCCACUUAGAAAAGGUCUCUGAAGAGCACGAAAGUGCCAACCAGUUGAACAAGAAGCCAUCAAAAACUCUGAUGUUUUUUCAUGGUUGUCCUAGGCGUUUAGGUUGCACGGUAUUUUCCCCUACUCUUAGAGUCCAUUUGUUAAUUGCAACUCUAAUCUUUUGAAGUUCCAAGUAUGAUUAAUCAUGCAUAUGGUUGGUCUUCUUGUUUUUACUCACUUCAAUGUGUAACGUUCCCCUAAAGUACUACUUUUAUGAUGCUCUCCGUUAAUCUUUGGCCACGUUGAUCUAGAUACACAAUGUAUAAUCAAUGGAUUUUUCCCUUAUAGUAUUUUUGUUUUGUGACA